GACGUAGGGCGCGAGCGUUGUCCGGAUUUAUUGGGCGUAAAGAGCUCGUAGGCGGCUUGUUGCGUCGGCUGUGAAAUCCCAUGGCUCAACUGUGGGCUUGCAGCCGAUACGGGCGGGCUAGAGUUCGGUAGGGGAGACUGGAAUUCCUGGUGUAGCGGUGAAAUGCGCAGAUAUCAGGAGGAACACCGGUGGCGCAAGCGGAUUGCUGGGCCAUAACUGACACUGAGGAACGAAAGCUAGGGUAGCGAAUGGG
rnacentral:rRNA from 1 species